UUUUUUUUUUUUUUUUUUUUUUUUUUUUUUUCAUUUUUCUUUGUUUAUCACGUUUGGGGAUUUUCUUGCAUGCAAUAUCUGGCUUUUUAUUAAUUUUCUUACAUUUCUCUUUCUAAAAUGUUUGUACUAUCAGUGAUGCCCAUAAAGUGCUCGAUAAAAUUUUCAUUAGGAAAACAUUACCUAUAUCUAAAUCUGCAUUAUUCUCAUUUUAUUGGGUCAAUUUUUAAAGGUGAAAGUCAUCUCUUAAUUAUUAGACAUAAUGAUACUCUUUUACUGUGAGAAUACGAUGGUCUGAAAGAAUCGGAGAAAGCUUGACCUUUUACGUUCUAUCAUUGGGCAUUGUUGUGCUAUUAAAAGUGACAUGAAACUAUUGAGUAUAGGAAGAGAAAUUGAUUUUUCGAAGAACGCGAGAACAUACCCUUAGAAGGGAGAUAAUGAAAUUAUUUGCGAGAAAGUGCUUCAGUAACAUUGAGCAAUUUAGGUGCAAGUACCUCCAUUCUGGAUUGGCAUGACGAAAUAAAAAUACAAAAGAAUAGAUGUAAAGAUUAUGAACAUGUGGAGUUUCAGAGAGAUGAUACUUUGUACUCAUUUCCUUAAAAUAAUUUAGGAUUUUACAAUUAGAUUUUAAGAACUUGUAAUGUUUGUGUGGGGGAGAGGUAUGUAGAGAGUUUGCCUUGAAAAGUUGAGGCAUAAGUUUGGAGAAGAAAGCAAAAGUAAAAAGGUCCAUUGGAGAGUGCUGAGCAGGGUGGGAAGCAGAGGCGGAUCCAGAUAGCCGAUCUCCUUAGCUACACCUACAAUUGUAUUUCUGUUUGAAAACAAAUAUGAAACAUCCUUUAGUUGUUCAUUCAGGUCUUUCUUGAAAAGAACUUGAUAAAACUUCCAUUUAGUCAAUAGCUCCUUUAAGUACAUAACAGGAACUUACAUGAUGUAAUUGAAAGUUAACAUUCAUUUUUAGGUGCUUAAUAAAUCAAUCAUUGCCAUUCACUUGAUUGCUUCCUCUUCUUUGGAUGAACCUGGAUAUAAGAGGAAUGUUGGAAUUUUUUAACCAACACAUGCUUUGUUUUAGGUGAUGGCAGAAAGAUGGUAUUUUGGUACGACAACUAUAGAGGUCACCUACUUUUGUUUGUAGCGCCCCGACAUCUAUUUGGCACUUAUAUUUAUAAAAUUACAUUUUACCGAUAAAAAAACCUUCUCUUUCUACAUUAUUUAAUGUGUUCCUUAUCCUAUAUCACUUGGUUCUCUCUUUUUGAUCCUUCUUCAAACCUAUAUGUUGCCACAAAUAGUUUUAUGUUGAAAUAUCUUAGAUAGAACUAUCUAAUGCUACUUCAUGCUAUGAUGUAUCUACAAGUAGAUUCUUCGAGUCAUUUAUGUAUAAUUUAGCAACUCAUGAUGCUCCAUUUUGACAAUAUUAUCAAUCAUAUCAUGCAAAGUAUUAAGAUAAAGUUUUUUUUUUUUUGUUAACGAAACGCAAAUAGUGAAGUUGAUACACUUAACAGGAACUUGCCCUGACUAUUUCUUGUGUCUGCCCAAGGUACUGAAAAGCAAAUAUGUACUGUACAAGUAGAAUGUUACAUCUUCUUGAGCAUCCUUCUUUUAUUUUUUUAUUUUUUUAAAUUUUUUUGAGCAAGUUGUUUGAGUUGUGUUAACAUUAGAUGUCUUCCUUUUUUGCGCCAAUUGAUGGUUUGGGAUUGUGUAUCUUUUGAGAUGCAUGAAUGGAUAGACUUGUUUUUAACUUAGUAGAUCAUCCCUUUCACUAAAACAUACACGCAUCUUGAAUAAAUUGAUUCCUUGCAAUUUGUGGCUUAUAUACCUGACAGUACUAUUGUAAAUAAAGUUAUACAGUUGGCAGACACAUAGCACCAAGAUUAAACAUCGAUCAAAUAACAACCGACACGCCAGAUUGGACUUCCAAAGUCCAAAUCGUUGACAUGAGCCGUGAGCGAGAAAGUCCCGACUCCUGAGAAGAAAAUCAGAUUCCAAAAUUUAAUUUUGGAAGAUGAAGAGGAGCAACAAAUUAGGGCCGUUGUGUACGGUGAUGAUAUUAGGCAUUAUGCAGACAUAUCUGAUUUUCGCCGCAAGAGUUCGAGUUUUGCCCACUUUAUAUGGCAAACCAAUACACAAGUUUUAUUGGGUACUCGAUAAAGAAACUAUAAUUGAACAUAUCAAGCCAACUGAUGCAUGAGAAACCACUCCCACCAUCAACUAAGCUGAAUAUCACAACUUUUGAUCGCAUUACUCAUAUGACUCCUCAUUCUUCUAUAGAAAUUGAUAUACUAGGAGUCGUCUUAUGUUGUGGCCUUCCAAAAUAUGCAGGUCGCAAUCAAAACAAGUGCCAAGAGAUUAUUGUUGUUGACAAUCAGUGUACCUUCCAAAUUGAUCUCAUUGAUGGCAAUGGGUCGAUUACGGCAGUAAUUUCUGGAGAUAUAGCUGAGAAGAUGCUUUCCAUGACAGCAGAACAUAUAUUUGAAACAACUUUGGUCAAGGUUGACCCUUAUUUAUAUGUAGUACCAUACUUCAUACUCCCUUUGUUUCAAUUUAUGUGAACCUAUUUCCUUUUUAGUUCGUGCCAAAAUGAAUGACCUCUUUCCUAGUUUGAAAACAAAUUCACUUUAUGAAAUGAUUUACAACCACACAAAUAUUCAAGACUUAUUUUGAACCACAAGUUUCAAAAGUCAUCACUCUUUCUUAAAUGUCAUGCCCAGUCAAAUGGGUUCACAUAAAUUGAAACGGAGGGAGUAUAUGUUUUUGAUUUGCUAUUUCUGCAAAAAUCAGCCACAACUAAAUCAUUUCUGACUCUUCACUUGCAAAAUCAACUCCUGCCGAUUGACCAUGUUCAUAAGAUGUUGUCGGACAAACUGUUCCUAAUUCAAUUAAAAAAGUCAUCCCGGAGAAGCUGAAACGACACACAAACAACUAUAUCAAUUUUGUCCUACGUAGAAAGGGAACCUGUCUUUCCACCUAGCAUUAAUCAAAGGAACACCAAAAAAUGAAGCCUCUGAGCACAAGUGCGGUGGACAUGGAGGAAGCAGUUAUUGCAUCUGACUCUUCAAGCACAAUGCUUAAAGAUCAACCACCCACACCAGCAAAAAAGCUGUAAAAGGAACUGUUGUCCUUAUUUUUGUGAAUUUUUCUUACUACAAAAGAGAUAUUUUUGGAAUCAAGUUUGUACAGCUUUGCUCGGUGGGGAGGACUGAUCAUUGGGAAGUAAAGAGGAUGAAGUAACGAAGAUGAUAUGCAGGUUAUUCAACAUUUUUUGACAGCCUCAACAUUGCACAUUCACACGCUGAAUUUCAACUUCAUUUGAACCAAGUCAUGCGAAUUACCGGAAGGAUAGAUUAACUCAAUUUUUGAAUAACAGUAUAAGUAGGAAUUUGCUUGUGGAUGUUCGAUGGUGGGAUAGGAAUGCAAUAUAUUAUACCAGCUUUUGCAGUACCUACUUCUCCUUCUAAUCUUUGAAUGUUCUGGCACAACAGGGAUUAGAGAAGCAGCCGGGAAAAAAUAAUUGCACUACAACCAAUGACAAUAAGCUAAUUUCUUUAAUUCUUCAACAGUUCCCAACUGAUUUGGAACUGAGAUAUAGUUGUUGAUUGACUAAGUUUGUGUAUCAUCUUUUGAUGUCUAGAUAAGGAUAUGUUCUUGUUUGUAUUUUUCUCCUAUCAAGUUGAACUUCCGUAACAACCAGAAUUAUGGUGUUACUUUCACUUUGUUCAUCGGCUAAUUGAUGUUAGAUCAUAUUGUUUUGUA